ensembl:lncRNA
CAAGCUAUUGCUGAAGCAUCAGCUACUCUUCCUGGGCUCCACAUGAAACAUGACAUCAUACAGAACAUUCAUUGACAAUGAACAGACGUUACCAUAGAAACCAGUUACCAGAAGAUGGCCCAAUUGAACUGCGUUCUGUGUGUUUGUUUCAAAGAUGGAUACCCAGUUUUAUUUUUUUAUUUUUUUUAAAUGUGUUCUAUAUUGUCAUUUGUACUGUAAACUAUCAUGGGGUUUUGCGUAUUUUAGAUUUGUAUUUUGUCUUUUAUGAAUACUUUUUGUUUUCACUCUGGGUGAGGUAUAGAAUACACCCAUUAUUCUGUCUGACCGUUUCAUUUAUUAUUUCACAUUUUAACUGAGCACAUGGGGGGGGGGUGCUUUCUCAUUUUGUUAAUUUCAGAAUAAUAUUUUUACCAAAGAUCCUGAGGAAUCCCAUCACUUAAAAAAAAAUUUGAUUUGACUAUUUGCAGCAGUAUAACAAAAAAACUGUUUCCUUCCUGUAGUGAACUGGAUAUUCGCUUGUGUUCCAAGUACAGUAUUAGGUGUGUGUGUGUGUGUGUGUGUGGUAGGACAGCUCAACAGGGUGCGUUACACCAUGCCAAAGUAAGCUGCCAUACUUGCUGUCAUAGCAAAAUGCCAAUAUCACACAGACACGUCAAAGAGUAGCAGCAGCCAAAAUACUGAAACACACACACACACACACACAACGCCUUUAUAAGCCCCUAUACCAGCUAGUCACCUGUAUUCAGACUACACACACACACACACACACACACACACAUACCGCCUUUAUAAGCCCCUAUACCAGCUAGUCACCUGUAUUCAGACUACACACACACAUACCGCCUUUAUAAGCCCCUAUACCAGCUAGUCACCUGUAUUCAGACUACACACACGCACACACACACACCACCCAGCAGUAUGUUCAGGCCCACUGGUGCGGUCUGUUGUAUAUCCCAGCCCUCUGAGACAAUACUGGAGGAUGUAUUUACUGUUAAUAUAUGGAUCAGGGUGACUGUCUGUUUGUUCUACGUUUCCUGUUUGUUCAAGUGAAAUAACCUAAACUAGCAGGCGCGUAAAAAAAAAAAGAUGCCUGAGCGGGAGUUCCCAGGUUGAAAAUACUGUAUCCCUCAAAACCCGAAACAUCCGCUUGGUCGACCUGUCGGAGAGUGGUGGACAGGAUCUGAUAUGGCUUUAUGUCCGAGGCGAGAUGACUGCCGCUCGCAGCUCAUAGUCCUUGGACAAGCAGUGAGUUGUUAUGGAGGCCCGUUCCUGCCAGCGUUUUGGCAUUCAUCUCCUUCCAUAGAGUGAUCCCCUUUGGAACUCACCUGGUCAUUAUUCUUUUUUUUUUUUAAUGCAUUCUCAGUCCUGAUAGGCUGUUAGGGAUGCACCGCUCAAGGUAGAGAGAGAGACUCCAUUUUGACUAAUAUUAGCUACUGAUCAUCAAUCAAUCAAAAACAACCAAUGACUGGGCUGGUUGCCAAUGGGGAGAGUUUGACAGUUUAUUGAUGCCGAUGCUUGGUAAUAGACAACCGAGCCCUCUUGACACGCUGCGGGAACAUUCUGUGCAAUAAUAAAUAAAGCAGUUUCUUGUGGUGUGACGGCGCCACUGUCUCGCUCUGUAGAGGCACUGUUCUUCAGAGUGGAUAGAUGUAAUGGCACGGUGUCCCCACACGGUGGCGCUUUUGCUAUAGCCCGGAAUCACUACGUUUCAAUAUUGUAAGAAACAGAGCUGAAUUAAUUUUGGAUUUCCAGGCUAGCACUGCUGCUACUCCUGAGGAAAACGGUUCCAUUCCUCACUUUGUCCACUAGGUAGCGCUAGAUGUCUCUACCGAGGAUGCAGACAGUGUGUCCUCAUUUUCUAUCUAGUCUAUUCUGUGGUAGAAUGUGCUCCUUACCUUAGCUGGCCUGCAGGUUCUCAAACUACUCGGUGUUGUCUUUAUAGCGCUUCGUUGUUUAACCGUUUGAUAACCGGCCCCACAAAGCCUGGGCUCCCUCCAUCUAAGACUUAACAAAGUAAGCUCUUCUGAUUUGCAUAAUAACUGUACUGUAAUGUUUUAUUUGUAAAAAAAAUAUAUAUAAUUGUGAAAUGAAAAAAAAAUGGUUGCAUUUAACUAAUUAAAUUAUGGGAAUUAAAA